rnacentral:rRNA from 1 species
AAUGCGAUACUUGGUGUGAAUUGCAGAAUCCCGUGAACCAUCGAGUCUUUGAACGCAAGUUGCGCCCGAAGCCAUCCGGCCGAGGGCACGUCUGCCUGGGCGUCACA